rnacentral:tRNA from 1 species
GGAGGUGUAGGUCAGUGGUAGACCGCAUGCUUGGCCUGCACGAGGUCCUGGGUUCAAUCCUCAGUGCUUCGG